rnacentral:ncRNA from 1 species
GUGUUGUAUGAAAGGAGAGAAGAUUAGCACUCCCUUGACAAGGAUGGAAGUCGCCCCCGGGGCCUGACAACAUGCAUACGGUUAAGGCACUGCCACCUACUUUGUGGCAUCUAACCAUCGUUUUUU